rnacentral:rRNA from 1 species
GCUAUUCCUGAAUGGAAAUGGGAUAAAAUUGGUAUGGAUUUCAUUACCGGCUUUCCCAGGACCAAGAGAGGGAAUAAUGCUAUCUUCGUCGUGGUCGAUCGUCUUUCCAAAGUAGCUCAUUUCUUACCUGUUCGUGAGAGUAUAACCGCUAGUCAGCUGGCAGAUUUGUACAUCUCCCGAAUAGUGUCUCUCCAUGGUGUUCCUUUGGAAAUUAACUUGGAUCGAGGAAGUCUUUUCACCUCUCGAUUUUGGGAAAGUUUCCAAAAUGCUAUGGGAACCCGUCUCUCCUUUAGCACCGCUUUCCACCCUCAGUCGAGUGGUCAAGUGGAACGCGUCAAUCAGAUUCUAGAAGACAUGCUUCGAGCCUCCGUUAUCUCUUUCGGAAUGGACUGGGAGAAGUGCCUUCCAUUUGCCGAAUUCGCUUACAACAACAGCUAUCAAUCUAGCUUGGGUAAAGCCCCUUUUGAAGUUCUCUAUGGACGACGAUGUCGAACACCCCUUAACUGGUCAGAGACCGGGGAAAGACAAUUCUUUGGCCCGGAUAUGAUUCAGGAAGCAGAAGAACAAGUUCGUAUCGUUCGUGAAAAGUUGAAAACAGCCCAAUCUUGUCAAAAGAGUCAAUAUGACCGAAAACAUAAGGCUAUGACUUUCGAG